rnacentral:misc_RNA from 1 species
AUUUUAUGUCAUUAACUCUAUAAAGAAUAUGAAAUUUCUCGCCAGUGGUGUUAGGCCAAGACAAUAUAUAUGAUACACUGAACUGUAUAUUGUAGUUUAUCUUUUCACAUUGACCAAUGCAUAAAUAUUGCAUUCAAAUCACAUUAUAAACCUAGCAAUGUUCAUAGAUGAACACAAGUUUGUAGACCUUCUGGCCCAUUUUCAAAGCAUGCAGUUUAAAUAUGCGUUGAUGGAUUGGAAUUGGGUAAUGAGUUCUCCCCCAAUUAGUGUAGCUAUCUAGAUAAAACUACAAUAAAAUUGAA